CCUACGGGAGGCAGCAGUAGGGAAUAUUGCUCAAUGGGGGAAACCCUGAAGCAGCAACGCCGCGUGGAGGAUGAAGGUUUUCGGAUUGUUAACUCCUUUUGUUAGAGAAGAUAAUGACGGUAUCUAACGAAUAAGCACCGGCUAACUCCGUGCCAGCAGCCGCGGUAAUACGGAGGGUGCAAGCGUUACUCGGAAUCACUGGGCGUAAAGAGCGCGUAGGCGGGAUAGCAAGUCAGAUGUGAAAUCCUAUGGCUUAACCAUAGAACUGCAUUUGAAACUGUUAUUCUAGAGUAUGGGAGAGGUAGGUGGAAUUCUUGGUGUAGGGGUAAAAUCCGUAGAGAUCAAGAGGAAUACUGAUUGCGAAGGCGACCUGCUAGAACAUAACUGACGCUGAUGCGCGAAAGCGUGGGGAGCAAACAGGAUUAGAUACCCGGGUAGUC
rnacentral:rRNA from 1 species